CCACCCAUUCCCCUCACCGCCGCCGCCACUCCGCCGCUGCCGCCGACGAGAUGGGUCGCGUGAUCCGCGCUCAGCGUAAGGGUGCGGGCUCCGUCUUCAAGUCCCACACCCACCACCGCAAGGGCCCCGCCCGCUUCAGGUCGCUCGACUUCGGCGAGCGCAACGGGUACCUCAAGGGCGUCGUCACCGAUGUCAUCCACGACCCAGGACGUGGUGCGCCGCUGGCCAAGGUGACCUUCCGCCACCCGUUCAGGUACAAGCACCAGAAGGA
rnacentral:lncRNA from 1 species